CUUGGCUCGUCCAAAAUAACUUUUAGCUACCCAAUCCAUUCUUAAAAAAAUUCCGUUCAUAGAAAAUUUCCAAGUUAGGUAACCAUACAUGACCUCUUGUACAUAAUUUACCCUAAAACCGACCAAACGCGACUCGAAAACAAAGGACACGCAAAAAUUUCUCGAUAACUACCUGUUUCAUGGCUCGUCCAAAAUAACUUUUGGCUACCCAAUCCAUGCUUAAAAAGCCGGUCAAAGAAUUUUUCCAAGUUAAGUACCCAUAUAUGACAUCUUGUACAAAAUUUGCCCUAAAACUGACCAAACGUGACUCGAUAACUACCUCUUUCGUGGCUCUUCCAAAAUAACUUUUUGCUACCCAAUCCAUGCUUAAAAAUGCCAUUCACAGAAUUUGUCCAAAGUUAGGUACCCAUAUAUGACAUGUUGUACAGAAUUUGCCCUAAAACCGACCAAACACGACUCGAAAACAAAGGACACGCAAAAACUCCCCGAUAACUAACUCUUUAGUGGCUCGUCCAACAUAACUUUUUUCUACCCAAUCCAUGCUUAAAAAAUGUCGUUCAUAGAAUUUUUCCAAGUUAGGUACCCAUAUAUGACAUCUUGUACAAAAUUUGCCCUUGAACAAACCAAACGCGACUGGAAAACAAAGGACACGCAAAACCUCCUCUAUAACUACCCCUUUCUUGGCUCAUCCAAAAUAACUUUUAGCUACCCAAUCCAUUCAUAAAAAAUUCCAUUCGUAGAAAUUUUCCAAGUUAGGGAACCAUACAUGACCUCUUGUACAUAAUUUACCCUAAAACCGACCAAACGCGACUCGAAAACAAAGGACACGCAAAAACUCCUCGAUAAAUACCUCUGUCAUGGCUCGUCCAAAAAAACUUUUUGCUACCCAAUCCAUGCUUAAAAAAUGUUGUUUACAUAAUUUUUCCAAGUUAGGUACCCAUAUAUGAAAACUUGUGCAUAAUUUGCCCUUAAACCUACCAAACACGACUCAAAAA